rnacentral:rRNA from 1 species
AGCAGUGAGGGAAUAUUGGUCAAUAGUCAAACGGCUGAACCAGCAACUUGAAGGAAUGGAAAGUUUUCGUAACGAAAACUAAUACUUUUGUGUAAAAUUCUAGGUAUAAUAUUGAUAGAGACAAUUUUAUACCUAUGUGUCUUGACCAAAUCACGUGCCAGCAGUCGCGGUAACACGUGGAAGACUAGUGUUAUUCAUCUUUAUUAGGUUUAAAGGGUACCUAGACAGUAUAUUUAGCCUAAAUAAGGUACAAAUAUACUAGAGUUUUAUAUGAGAAGGUAGAAUUUUUGGAGUAGUGAUAAAAUACGACAAAACUAAAAAGACUGUUAACGGUGAAGACAACCUUCUAUCUAAAAACUGACGUUGAGGGACGAAGGCUUGGGUAACGAUAAGGAUUAGAUACCCUAGUAGUCCAAGCAGAAAAUUAUGAAUGCCAUAGACUAGAAAGUUUAGUCUAUAAAUGAAAGUGAAAGCAUUCCACCUUAAGAGUAAUGUGGCAACACAGAAACUUAAAUCAUUAGACCGUCUCUGAAACCAGUAGUGAAGUAUGUUAUUUAAUUCGAUGACCCGCGAAAAACCUUACCACAAUUUGUAUAUUAUUUAUUUAAUACAGGUGCUGCACGGCUGUCUUUAGUUAAUGUCGUGAGAUUUUGGUUAGUUCCAUUAAUUAACGUAAACCCUUGUUUUAUUUUAUUAUAAAAUAGCUCUGCCAUUAUAUCGGUAAGUUAACAGGGAUCAAGACAAGUCAUCAUGGCCUUAAUAUUGUGGGCUAUAGACGUGCCA